rnacentral:rRNA from 1 species
CUUAACAUGAAGUGAAGCAUGCAAA